ACAAGUAUGAAGAGAAUGUCGGGAGAGGAAGUGGUGGCUAUGAGUCAGCAUGAGUCAUCUCGUUCCAAUGAGAAUGAAGGCUGAGGUGUGCGCCUUUUUUUUUUUUCCUUCUUAGUCGUGUGUACAUCAUUGGGAAUGGAGGGAAAUAAAUGACUGGAUGGUCGCUGCUUUUUAAGUUUCAAAUUGACAUUCCAGACAAGCGGUGCCUGAGCCCGUGCCUGUCUUCAGAUCUUCACAGCACAGUUCCUGGGAAGGUGGAGCCACCAGCCUCUCCCUGGCUCUGCCGACUUCCAGUUCUGGAACAAGAUGGUUAAACUCAUUUUUCCCUGCUCUGCUCCUCUAAAUACAACUAAGUACCUUGGAAACUAUUCAGCAGACAAUGAUAAAGGGCUCUGAAAGCUAGAAGAAAAGGUGUACUUGCAAGAAACCUCAGGACUUGAGUAACAGCAACAUGGCAGGCCAGAAAGCAGACCCAGGGAGGAUAGCACAUGUCUUCGGCUACACUGGUGAAGGCAUCGUGCCUGCUCCACAGCACAUUUUUAUUCAAGGAAAGGAGAAAGAGACUACCUACUGCAUUUCUGUCACUCGCUGAAAAGGACACUCUGUCAGAAAAUCUUCUAGCAAACUUCAAAGGGCAAAAUCACCCCUUGUUACUGAUAAAGCCCAGAGAGCUUCAGCAGCUAACAUUCCCUGGACAGGGCACAGCAAGGAUUUGAACCUAGGUCAGUCUGGCCAGAACACCCACAAGCUUUCCUUAACUCAGUGUGCUAUCUCCCCACGACUAGGUCACUACUGCUUUAUAAUCACCUUUGUAGCCACCAGUGGAUUUUGCUCAUCAGUAUUUUUCAGGCAAUUGAUACUUUAGAUAUUCAGCUGCAAGACGUAUGCAGUUUUCAUUGACAUCUUUUGGAGAAACUGACAAACCUGGACUUGACUUAAUGCCUUUGGAACCUUCCAAGAUGUUAUAUAACUCUAGAUAGAAGGCUGGGCCUCCAUGAUGUCAGGAAUGUUGCAUUCUUAUUUCCCCAUAGAUAAACCCAUUUGUCCACAAAGUCAAGGAGUCAGGCAGAGGCCCUUGCCAUGGGGCUUUUUAGGAUAAAGCAACAAGCCUGGACUUUGCUCUACAACAGGGUUUUGCAUAGGGAGUGGUAUGACCAGAUCCCUCAAGAAAGAAAGCUUAGAGACCAGGCCAGAGUCCACUGCAGUAGCCCAGUCAAGAGAGGAUGGUGACUUGGACUUGUAGUAGAGCCAGUUAGAAUGAAAGAAAUUGACACAUUCAGAAAUGGUUUUAGAGAUAGAGUCAAACUGGACCUGAUAAAGAACUAGAGAAGCGGAGUGAGGAUAAAGAGAAGAGCCAUGACUGACUCGGAAGAUUUUGUCUUGAAAAACUUGAGAACUCAAGACAGAGUGAAAUAAAAUCACAUGUGGGAAAAAUCU
rnacentral:lncRNA from 1 species